CAACCUUUAAGUAUUUCCAGACCCUUCCCCUUCUCUUUGUUUCUAGCAUUUUAUUUUGCACCAGUACUAUAAAUGCAGAACACACAUUUGUACAUCUUUGUACUGAGUUAGCAAGUCCUGGGGUUUAGAUGGGAAUAGAUGGAGAUAGGUGCCUGGGAUUUAAAAUCAUCUCACACCUCCAGCAACUCUCACCCUGAGAUACAUUUGUCUCUCUAGAAAUGUAGCAGUUCCCUGAAAUUUCAGCUAGUACAUUGAGGCAUGACACCUUGUAUUGUGCACUAAGUUGCAUUUCUGUUAGUUUUGGCCCAUCUUGACAGACUAGAGAGAUGGGCCAAAACUAACAAAAUGAAGUUCAACAGGGACAAAUGCAAGAUACUUCACUUCGGCAGAAAAAAUGGAAAUCAAAGAUACAGAAUGGGGGACGCCUGGCUUGACAGCAGUGUGUGCGAAAAAGACCUUGGAGUCCUUGUGGACAACAAGUUAAACAUGAGCCAACAAUGUGAUGCGGCUGCUAAAAAAGCCAACGGGAUUCUGGCCUGCAUCAAUAGGGGAAUAGCGUCUAGAUCCAGGGAAGUUAUGCUCCCCCUCUAUUCUGCCUUGGUCAGACCACACCUGGAAUACUGUGUCCAAUUUUGGGCACCACAGUUGAAGGGAGAUGUUGACAAGCUGGAAAGCGUCCAGAGGAGGGCGACUAAAAUGUUGCUCCCUCCUCCCUAUGACUUCCCUUCACGUAUUUGUACAUGGAUUUUGUGCCAAGAACCAAUGACCAGAAGUUAUGGCUACACAAGCCCUAUGAGGAGCGGCUUAAAGAGCUUGGCAUGUUUAGCCUGCAGAAGAGAAGGCUGAGAGGAGACAUGAUAGCCAUGUACAAAUACGUGAAGGGAAGUCAUAGGGAGGAGGGAGCAAGCCUAUUUUCUGCUGCCCUGCAGACUAGGACACGGAACAAUGGCUUCAAACUACAGGAAAGGAGAUUCCACCUGAACAUCAGGAAGAACUUCCUCACUGUGAGGGCUGUUCGACAGUGGAACUCUCUCCCCCGGGCUGUGGUGGAGGCUCCUUCCUUGGAGGCUUUUAAGCAGAGGCUGGAUGGCCAUCUGUCGGGGGUGCUUUGAAUGCGAUUUCCUGCUUCUUGGCAGGGGGUUGGACUGGAUGGCCCAUGAGGUCUCUUCCAACUCUACUAUUCUAUGAUUCUAUGAUUCUUAAACAACAGUCUCAGGCUACAUUCUGUCAUAUAGACCUUGCAUAAGGAUUACCUUACAAUGUAUUAUAUACUGUUCAUAUAUGCUUUGUUGCUUUCUCUGCUGACUCUGAUGUUCUAUGAAAUACUGGGGCUUAAAACAAACUUUAUUUAUAUUGGCCUGUGAUGUGAAUAGGUUGGAGUCAGUGCUGAUGUUUGGUAGAAACUUUGGCCAAAAUUAUUGUCUGUUGUUUGCCCUCCUGCUCAGUUUCAGGGCUCAUCUUAGCCUCCAGUACCAACUGAAGGAUGCUGUUAGGUAGAUGUUUCAGCCCUGUCUAAAGUAGCAUAAGCUUUCUUUGGCCAAGGACAUUAUUACACAAGGCUUGCAAACUGGCAGCAGGAUGACCUUAAUGAUUGCUGGUAGCUAUCACAUGAUGUUGUGCGCAUCCUGAUGCAGAUUUUCCUUCCUUCACAAAAGUAGCACAUCUCUGUGUUGAUGGAUAAAACCUGUGACUAUGUCUUGAUAGAAUGUGUGACUGUAGAUCACCAAACCAACACCAUAGCGCUACUGUGGAAAUGUGAGAUAAUGAACAUACUUAUCCUGGAAUGUUUCCAUUCCCCUAACUAAUGUGAUUUUGGUGAGAUAGAAGGCUGAUCCUAAAUCUAAGUAGUUUAUAAAAGCUUAUGCUACCAACUUUUUUUUCUUUCAGUUAAUCUCUGCUACAAAAUGCUUCUUAGCUUCUAAGGUACUAUAACAUCCCAUAGAAAUAAUGUUUGGAAAAACAUAUAGAAUACUUCAAUUACUGGGAGACAUCUCUAAUAUGUCAAUUGUAGCUAUAUCUUAGGAUGAAGCACACAAACACAUUUUUAUUCCUGCUUCCAGUCAACUUCGAACAAGACAUUUGUUCAGGAUUCUGCCCGAA
ensembl:lncRNA